AUUUUUGUGUUGGGUUGCUUCUAUAGCCGCGGAUCUGCGCUUCGAGACGCCGUUGAGGAUCGUGGAGUAUCCCGAUCCGAUGCUGAGAGCGAGGAACAAGCGGAUCAAUACGUUCGAUGAAAACCUAAAGAGGCUUGUCCAAGAGAUGUUUGAUGUUAUGUACAAAACUGAUGGGAUUGGUCUCUCAGCACCUCAAGUUGGAAUUAAUGUUCAUCUCAUGGUAUUUAAUCCCGCCGGUGAGCGUGGAGAAGGAGAGGAGAUUGUUCUUGUGAAUCCAGUGUUAUAUAAAGCAUCAAAAAAGACUCUUUUUUAUGAUGAAGGUUGCUUAUCAUUUCCAGGAAUAUAUGCAGAUGUAGAGAGACCUGCAUCUGUGAAAAUUGAUGCUCGAGAUAUAACUGGAGCGAAGUUUAAAGUUAGUUUGUCAGGCCUUCCUGCACGAGUAUUCCAGCAUGAGUUUGAUCAUCUGAAGGGGGUUCUUUUUAUUGAUAGAAUGACUGAUGAUGUCCUUGAAAGCAUUCAGUCCCAACUACAGGAUCUGGAAAAGAAGUAUGAGAGCAGAACAGGGCUACCAACCCCUGAAUCAGUUAGUAACAAUCAAAAGAGAAAGGCGGCUGUUGGAUUUUCACAACGCUGAUUCAUUAGCAAGUCCUUCUUCUUGGUUAGCUGCUCUCUCCUUGGUUUAUCUUCUAUCUACAGGACAAUGAAACUGUUGGGUGAAGAUUUUACCAAAGCUGUUUCAGGAACCCACUCAUUCUGAUAUGCUAAUAUGCAAAGGAGAGCACAUUAUUCUCUGUGUUCUGAUAGUUGUCGAUUUUGUUAUCCGUCUGCUGACUGAUUUUUAUUCUUCAAUAUAGUAUAUAGAGCAGAGGAAGUUCUUACACCUCUAAUCGAAACUUUGAUAAAGUAACAUCUUAUGUAUAAAAAGGAUUGUCGUAAUGCCUAUGUUUUUUCAAUGGUUAUUGGUGCUUUUUUUUGUCUUGUCUUAA